rnacentral:rRNA from 1 species
UUCGAUCAUGGCUCAGAUUGAACGCUGGCGGGAUGCUUUACACAUGCAAGUCGAACGGCAGCACGGACUUCGGUCUGGUGGCGAGUGGCGAACGGGUGAGUAAUGUAUCGGAACGUGCCUAGUAGCGGGGGAUAACUACGCGAAAGCGUAGCUAAUACUGCAUACGUCUCUCGGGGGAAAGCGGGGACCUUCGGGCCUCGCACUAUUAGAGCGGCCGAUAUCGGAUUAGCUAGUUGGUGGGGUAACGGCUCACCAAGGCGACGAUCCGUAGCUGGUUUGAGAGGACGACCAGCCACACUGGGACUGAGACACGGCCCAGACUCUACGGGAGGCAAAGCAGUGGGGAAUUUUGGACAAUGGGGGAAACCCUGAUCCAGCCAUCCCGCGUGUGCGAUGAAGGCCUUCGGGUUGUAAAGCACUUUUGGCAGGAAAGAAACGGCACGGAUAAUACCCCGUGCAACUGACGGUACCUGCAGAAUAAGCACCGGCUAACUACGUGCCAGCAGCCGCGGUAAUACGUAGGGUGCAAGCGUUAAUCGGAAUUACUGGGCGUAAAGCGUGCGCAGGCGGUUCCGGAAAGAAAGAUGUGAAAUCCCAGAGCUUAACUUUGAACUGCAUUUUUAACUACCGAGCUAGGAGUGUGUCAGAGGGAGGUGGAAUUCCGCGUGUAGCAGGAAUGCGUAGAUAUGCGGAGGAACACCGAUGGCGAAGGCACCGGGAUAGCCACUGACGUUCAUGCACGAAAGCGUGGGGAGCAAACAGGAUUAGAUACCUGGUAGUCCACGCCCUAAACGAUGUCAACUAGCUGUUGGGGCCUUCGGGCCUGGUAGCGCAGCUAACGCGUGAAGUUGACCGCCUGGGGAGUACGGUCGCAAGAUUAAAACUCAAAGGAAUUGACGGGGACCCGCACAAGCGGUGGAUGAUGUGGAUUAAUUCGAUGCAACGCGAAAACCUUACCUACCCUUGACAUGUCUGGAAUCCCGAAGAGAUUUGGGAGUGCUCGCAAGAGAACCGGAACACAGGUGCUGCAGAUGGCUGUCGUCAACUCGUGUCGAGAUGCUGGGUUAAGUCCUGCAACGAGCGCAACCCUUGUCAUUAGUUGCUACGAAAGGGCACUCUAAUGAGACUGCCGGUGACAAACCGGGAGGAAGGUGGGGAUGACGUCAAGUCCUCAUGGCCCUUAUGGGUAGGGCUUCACACGUCAUACAAUGGUCGGGACAGAGGGUCGCCAACCCGCGAGGGGGAGCCGGUCCCAGAAACCCGAUCGUAGUCCGGAUCGCAGUCUGCAACUCGACUGCGUGAAGUCGGAAUCGCUAGUAAUCGCGGAUCAGCAUGUCGCGGUGAAUGUUCCCGGGUCUUGUACACACUGCCCGUCACACCAUGGGAGUGGGUUUUACCAGAAGUAGUUAGCCUAACCGUAAGGAGGGCGAUUACCACGGUAGGAUUCAUGACUGGGGUGAAGUCGUAACAAGGUAA